UACGGGGGGGCGAGCGUUGUUCGGAAUUACUGGGCGUAAAGCGUGCGCAGGCGGUUUGUAAGUCUGUCGUGAAAUCCUCGGGCUCAACCUGAGAAUUGCGAUGGAGACUGCAAGGCUUGAAUCUGGCAGAGGGGGUAGAAGUUCCACGUGUAGCAGUGAAAUGCGUAGAGAUGUGGAGGAACACCGAUGGCGAAGGCAGCCCCUGGGUCAAGAUUGACGCUCAUGCACGAAAGCGUGGGGAGCAAACAGG
rnacentral:rRNA from 1 species